AUAGUCACAACAAAGAGAGAAAAAUCGAUACUAAAGAAAGCUCAAAGAAAUCGAAAAAUGGCGUUGCAGUGGAUGAUUCUAACCUACGUGGUCGCAGCAGAGGCCGCGCUGGCUCUUCUCUUGACCUUUCCCUAUCCCAAGCUAUUGAAGAACCGUUUGGUCUCUCUCAUCUCUCUGAUUCUUCAGCCUUCCCUCUUUAUUGUCCCCUUUGCCGGAUGAAAUGGGUUUUCUCCCUAUCCCAAGCUCUUAGGAUAUCUACUGGAAGAACGAGCAUCGCUUGAGUUCUACCUCUGAGAUUUGCACUGCUUCCGAGAGAGAUCGUUAUGAGAAAUCUGUUCUACUUGGUACCAUGGAAUCGGAUCAGUCUUCGAGUCAUGAUGGAGACUUUAAACAAAGAGGUCCGACAAUAAAGGGAAAAACUACUAAAGGAAAAGUUAUCGUUACUUACAAUAAAAAGGGUGUUUUGAUUGGCGUUGAAGCAACGAAACUUGCUUCCUUUGAGGGCAUGGUAGCAAGAUCAAUGGUGCCUAUCACUUAUGCCACUUGGCGAGAUGUUGAAUAGGAAAAAAAAGAAGACUUAUGGCAAUACAUUUUGAUGAAUUUUGAACUUGAUCCAAGGAGUCGAAAGAACACCCUUCAAUCCAUUGGGACAAAGUGGAAGAACUUUAAGCAUUAUCUGUAUAAGAAAUUCAUUGAGAAGUUUAAGAAUAACCCUAAUACAAAUCUGCUCAACCCUCUAGAUAUGUAUCUUUAUUUGAAGAUAGAUGACUGGAAGGUUUUUGUAUCGCAAAGACUUUCAAAGAAGUGGGAGGAAACAAGCCAGAAAGCUAAAAAAAAUGCGUGGACAACAUAGAUACAAUCAUCGGUUGAGUAGAAAAUGAUAUGUUGGACUAACUCUUGAGAUUAUGCAAGAAACGGAAAAGGAGGAAGACGAGAUUGAUAGAGCAUUGUUGUGAAAAAAGGCAAGACAAAUGAAAAAUAGAGGUUAUGACCCGAAUGUCCGGAUUGUUGUUAAUAAAAUGGUUGGCGUUGGGAAGGAAGAAUACACAGAUGAUGACAUUGAU